GACGAACGCUGGCGGCGUGCUUAACACAUGCAAGUCGAACGGAAAGGCACUGCUAUUGUGGGGUGCUCGAGUGGCGAACGGGUGAGUAACACGUGAGUAACCUGCCCUUGACUUUGGUAUAACUUCAGGAAACUGGGGCUAAUACCGGAUAGGAGCUCCUGCUGCAUUGUGGGGGUUGGAAAGUUUCGGCGGUUGGGGAUGGACGCGCGGCUUAUCAGCUUGUUGGUGGGGUAGUGGCUUACCAAGGCUUUGACGGGUAGCCGGCCUGAGAGGGUGGACGGCCACAUUGGGACUGAGAUACGGCCCAGACUCCUACGGGAGGCAGCAGUGGGGAAUAUUGCACAAUGGGCGGAAGCCUGAUGCAGCAACGCCGCGUGCGGGAUGACGGCCUUCGGGUUGUAAACCGCUUUCGCCUGUGACGAAGCGUGAGUGACGGUAAUGGGUAAAGAAGCACCGGCUAACUACGUG
rnacentral:rRNA from 1 species